rnacentral:rRNA from 1 species
AGAGUUUGAUCCUAGCUCAGGAUGAACGCUGGCGGCGUGGAUAAGGCAUGCAAGUCGAACGAACUUUUUGUUUCCCGAGAUGAGAUUACAUCAAGUCAAAGGUCGUUUAAAGUUAGUGGCGAACGAGGUAGUAACACAUAGGAACUUCCCCCUAAGUCGUGAACAACUCAUCGAAAGGUGAGCUAAUACACGAUGGUCCCCGUGAGAUAAGAGAACCGAAGUUUAUAGUAAGAUUAAAUAAAAAUAUUUUUUAAUCAUUUAAUUUAUUUCGAUUUUGUUAUCUCACGGGGUAAAGAUUUCUCGCUUAGGGAAAGGCCUGUGAAGUAUCAGCUUGUUGGUAGUGUAAUAGACUACCAAGGCUAUGACGCUUAGGGGAGCUGAGAGGCUGACCCCCACCGAUGGGACUGAGACACGGCCCAUACACCUACGGGUGGCUGCAGUCGAGAAUCUUCCGCAAUGGACGAAAGUCUGACGGAGCGACGCCGCGUGAUUGAAGAAGCAAUUCGUUGUGUAAAAAUCUUUUAUGAGGGAAGAAGUUUAUUGACGGUACCUCAUGAAUAAGGGGCUCCUAAUCUCGUGCCAGCAGGAGCGGUAAUACGAGAGCCCCGAGCGUUAUCCGGAAUUAUUGGGCGUAAAGGGUGCGUAGGCGGUGAUGUUAGUCGUUUGUCAAAUCCUCGGGCUUAACCCGAGACUCGCGAACGAAACGGCAUUGCUAGAGAAUGUGGGGAGUAUGGGGAACUCAUGGUGUAGGGGUGAAAUCCGUUGAUAUCAUGGGGAACACCGAAAGCGAAAGCACCAUACUAACACAUAUCUGACGCUCAAGCACGAAAGCGUGGGUAGCGAAUGGGAUUAGAUACCCCAGUAGUCCACGCCCUAAACGAUGAUCUCUAGUCUUUCGGAGUAUCGACCCUCUGAGAGACGUAGCUAACGCGUUAAGAGAUCCGCCUGGGAAGUACGGCCGCAAGGCUAAAACUCAAAGGAAUAGACGGGGACUUGCACAAGUAGUGGAUUAUGUGGUUUAAUUCGAUGAUAAACGAAGAACCUUACCAAGGUUAGAAACCAAUUUGAAAGCCCUAAGAAACUAGGGCCCUCGCAAGACAGAUUGGCAGGUGAUGCAUGGCCGUCGUCAGUUCGUGGUUUGAAUUGUUCCCUUAAGUGGGGUAACGAACGCAACCCUCAUCGUGUGUUAUAAGUGUCACACGAGACUGCCCAGCCC